rnacentral:rRNA from 1 species
CUACGGGACGCUCCAGUGAGGAAUAUUGCACAAUGGGGGGAACCCUGAUGCAGCAACGCCGCGUGGAGGAUGACGCAUUUCGGUGUGUAAACUCCUUUUAUAUGUCAAGAAAAUGACGGUAGCAUAUGAAUAAGCACCGGCUAGCUCCGUGCCAGCAGCCGCGGUAAUACGGAGGGUGCAAGCGUUACUCGGAAUCACUGGGCGUAAAGGACGCGUAGGCGGGUUGGAAAGUCAGGUGUGAAAUCCUACAGCUUAACUGUGGAACUGCACUUGAAACUUCUAAUCUAGAGUAUGGGAGGGGGAGAUGGAAUUAGUGGUGUAGGGGUAAAAUCCAUAGAUAUCACUAGGAAUACCUAAAGCGAAGGCGAUCUCCUGGAACAUUACUGACGCUAAGGCGUGAAAGCGUGGGGAGCAAACAGGAUUAGAUACCCUAGUAGUC